rnacentral:rRNA from 1 species
AGUUAGGAAUCUUGGACAAUGGGCGCAAGCCUGAUCCAGCCAUGCCGCGUGAGUGAUGAAGGCCCUAGGGUUGUAAAGCUCUUUCAGCGGGGAAGAUAAUGACGGUACCCGCAGAAGAAGCCCCGGCUAACUUCGUGCCAGCAGCCGCGGUAAUACGAAGGGGGCUAGCGUUGCUCGGAAUCACUGGGCGUAAAGCGCACGUAGGCGGCUUUCUAAGUCAGGGGUGAAAUCCCGGAGCUCAACUCCGGAACUGCCUUUGAUACUGGAAAGCUUGAGUCCGGGAGAGGUGAGUGGAACUGCGAGUGUAGAGGUGAAAUUCGUAGAUAUUCGCAAGAACACCAGUGGCGAAGGCGGCUCACUGGCCCGGUACUGACGCUGAGGUGCGAAAGCGUGGGGAGCAAA